rnacentral:rRNA from 1 species
ACGCUCGACACCUACGGGAGGAGCAGUGGGGAAUAUUGCACAAUGGGGGAAACCCUGAUGCAGCGACGCCGCGUGAGUGAAGAAGUAAUUCGUUAUGUAAAGCUCUAUCAGCAGGGAAGAAAGUGACGGUACCUGAGUAAGAAGCCCCGGCUAACUACGUGCCAGCAGCCGCGGUAAUCUGAGCGGGCUGGCAAGGC